rnacentral:misc_RNA from 1 species
GAUGAAGAACGCAGCGAAAUGCGAUAAGUAAUGUGAAUUGCAGAAUUCAGUGAACCAUCGAAUCUUUGAACGCACAUUGCGCCCGGCAGUAAUCUGCCGGGCAUGCCUGUCCGAGCGUCAUUUCUACCCUCGAGCGAGUCCAGCAUCUAGGUGCUGGGCCUCGCCCGGCGUUGGGGCACUACGGGAAGCCUCGUGCUAUCCCCCGUAGGCCCCGAAAUGAAGUGGCGGUCCUGCCGCGGCGCCCCCUGCGUAGUAUUACAGCUCGCUUCGGGACCCGGUGGAGGCCUGCCGUCAAACCUUACUCUCUAAGUUUGACCUCGGAUCAGGUAGGGUUACCCGCUGAACUUAAGCAUAUCAAUAAGCGGAGGA